GACGAACGCUGGCGGCGUGCUUAACACAUGCAAGUCGAACGGAAAGGCCCUGCUUUUGUGGGGUGCUCGAGUGGCGAACGGGUGAGUAACACGUGAGUAACCUGCCCUUGACUUUGGGAUAACUUCAGGAAACUGGGGCUAAUACCGGAUAGGAGCUCCUGCUGCAUGGUGGGGGUUGGAACGUUUCGGCGGUUGGGGAUGGACUCGCGGCUUAUCAGCUUGUUGGUGGGGUAGUGGCUUACCAAGGCUUUGACGGGUAGCCGGCCUGAGAGGGUGACCGGCGACAAGGGGACUGAGGGACGGACCAGAGGGGUACGGGAGACAGUAGUGGCAAAUAUUGCACAAUGAGCGGAAGCCUGAUGAAGCGACGCCGGGGUCGGGAUGACGGCUUGCGGGUAGUGAACCGCUGUCGCCUGUGACGAAGCGUGAGUGACGGUAAUGGGAGAAGAAGCACCGGCUAACUACGUG
rnacentral:rRNA from 1 species